UGUACAUUCCUGGACAGAGAGAGUGGCUUU
rnacentral:piRNA from 2 species